GGCCUGGUGGUGUAGUGGUAACACACUCCUUAUAUGUUGCCGCCAAUUCUUGUAGUACAAAGGAGACACCCUCGUUCGAUGCGAGGCCAGGCCA